GUGGACCCUGUGAAUCUUUAAGARCUGAAUCUCAACAACACAGAUCCACUUAUGCUGGCCAGGUUCAUAGACAACACCAAGACAAGGCUGGCAAGGAUCAUGCCUCGGCCCCGGUGUCUUUUGCAUAUGAAGAAACACAUUUCUGCAGAAUUACCACACUGACUACUGCCAAGCUGCCACCUGCUCCCUCAGACCUGACUGCCUGAAUGACAUCCAGGAGAAGCAAAGAGAAAUUUCCACCUCCAGGGAGAUUUCACCAUCUUAAGUCUCAACAGUUUUGUUCAUGCUGAAGUCAGGAACACUUCUUGGCCAGCAUAAGUAUAGGGCACAGAGAGCAUUUCCAGCCUCUUUGGCCUCACAGAAGUGUCUUCAAAAAGGACACCAUCUUCUUGGGAGAAUACUGCAAACCUGCCAGGCACCAUCAUCACAGGCUUUCUUCAUAGYCAAAUUCAAGGCAUUCUUUGGGAAAAUCAGCUA